UACGUAGGGCGCAAGCGUUGUCCGGAAUUAUUGGGCGUAAAGAGCUCGUAGGUGGCGUGUCGCGUCUGCCGUGAAAGCCCAUGGCUUAACUGUGGGUCUGCGGUGGAUACGGGCAGGCUGGAGGCUGGUAGGGGCAAGCGGAAUUCCUGGUGGAGCGGUGAAAUGCAUUGAGAUCGGAAAGAACACCAACGGCGAAAGCACUCUGCUGGGCCGACACUGACACUGAGAGACGAAAGCUAGGGGAGCAAAUGGG
rnacentral:rRNA from 1 species